rnacentral:pre_miRNA from 2 species
GAAGGCUUUUUCACAUUUAUGGCGAAAUUGUAAAAUCAAAUUGGGUUCUUUAUUUGUGUAUUUGUAUUAAUAAAGCUUGAUUUGAUUUUCACAUUGAUCCAAAUUUGACAUCGAGCUUUA